GACGAACCGAGCGAACGUUGUUCGGAAUCACUGGGCUUAAAGGGCGCGUAGGCGGGCUGUCAAGUCUGGGGUGAAAUCCCGCGGCUCAACCGUGGAACUGCCUUAGAUACUGACGGCCUCGAGGGAGAUAGGGGCGAGCGGAACUGUGAGUGGAGCGGUGAAAUGCGUUGAUAUUGGGAAGAACACCGGUGGCGAAGGCGGCGCUCUGGACCGAGACUGACGCUGAGGCGCGAAAGCGUGGGGAGCAAACAGG
rnacentral:rRNA from 1 species